CACGUACUCCCUCCGUUCGGAAUUACUUGUCGUAGAAAUGGAUGUAUCUAGAUGUAUUUUAGUUCUAGAUACAUCCAUUUCCGAGACAAGUAAUUUCGAACGGAGGGAGUAACAG
rnacentral:pre_miRNA from 1 species